GAUGAACGCUGGCGGCGUGCCUAAUACAUGCAAGUCGAGCGAACAGACGAGGAGCUUGCUCCUCUGACGUUAGCGGCGGACGGGUGAGUAACACGUGGAUAACCUACCUAUAAGACUGGGAUAACUUCGGGAAACCGGAGCUACUACCGGAUAAUAUAUUGAACCGCAUGGUUCAAUAGUGAAAGACGGUUUUGCUGUCACUUAUAGAUGGAUCCGCGCCGCAUUAGCUAGUUGGUAAGGUAACGGCUUACCAAGGCAACGAUGCGUAGCCGACCUGAGAGGGUGAUCGGCCACACUGGAACUGAGACACGGUCCAGACUCCUACGGGAGGCAGCAGUAGGGAAGCUUCCGCAAUGGGCGAAAGCUUGACGGAGCAACGCCGCGUGAGUGAUGAAGGUCUUCGGAUCGUAAAACUCUGUUAUUAGGGAAGAACAAAUGUGUAAGUAACUAUGCACGUCUUGACGGUACCUAAUCAGAAAGCCACGGCUAACUACGUG
rnacentral:rRNA from 1 species